UACAGGGGGUGCAAACGUUGCUCGGAAUCAUUGGGCGUAAAGCGCACGUAGGCGGUCUGUUAUGUCGGAUGUGAAAGCCCUUGGCUCAACUGAGGAAGUGCAUCCGAAACUGGCAGGCUAGAGUACUAAAGAGGAUCGCGGAAUUCCCGGUGUAGAGGUGAAAUUCGUAGAUAUCAGGAGGAACACCGGUGGCGAAGGCGGCUACCUGGACAGAAACUGACGCUGAGGCGCGAAAGCUAGGGGAGCAAACAGG
rnacentral:rRNA from 1 species